rnacentral:rRNA from 1 species
GAUGAACGCUGGCGGCGUGCCUAAUACAUGCAAGUAGAACGCUGAAGGAAGGAGCUUGCUCUUUCCGGAUGAGUUGCGAACGGGUGAGUAACGCGUAGGUAACCUGCCUGGUAGCGGGGGAUAACUAUUGGAAACGAUAGCUAAUACCGCAUAACAGUAGAUGUUGCAUGACAACUAUUUGAAAGGGGCAAUUGCUCCACUACCAGAUGGACCUGCGUUGUAUUAGCUAGUUGGUGAGGUAACGGCUCACCAAGGCGACGAUACAUAGCCGACCUGAGAGGGUGAUCGGCCACACUGGGACUGAGACACGGCCCAGACUCCUACGGGAGGCAGCAGUAGGGAAUCUUCGGCAAUGGACGGAAGGCUGAACGAGCAACGCCGCGUGAGUGAAGAAGGGUUUCGGAUCGUAAAGCUCUGUUGUAAGAGAAGAACGAGUGUGAGAGUGGAAAGUUCACACUGUGACGGUAUCUUACCAGAAAGGGACGGCUAACUACGUG